CUUCAGCACCAAACACUCAGUUAUUCC
rnacentral:piRNA from 1 species